UACGUAGGGUGCGAGCGUUGUCCGGAUUUAUUGGGCGUAAAGAGCGUGUAGGCGGCCAGGUAGGUCUGCUGUGAAAACUCGAGGCUUAACCUCGAGAUGUCGGCGGAAACCAUCUGGCUAGAGUCCGGAAGAGGAGAGUGGAAUUCUUGGUGUAGCGGUGAAAUGCGCAGAUAUCAGGAAGAACACCCGUGGCGAAGGCGGCUCUCUGGGACGGUACUGACGCUGAGACGCGAAAGCGUGGGGAGCGAACAGG
rnacentral:rRNA from 1 species